CCUACGGGUGGCUGCAGUGAGGAAUAUUGGUCAAUGGGCGUAAGCCUGAACCAGCCAAGUCGCGUGAGGGAUGAAGGUUCUAUGGAUCGUAAACCUCUUUUAUAAGGGAAUAAACUGUGGUACGUGUCCUCUUUUGUAUGUACCUUAUGAAUAAGGAUCGGCUAACUCCGUGCCAGCAGCCGCGGUAAUACGGAGGAUCCGAGCGUUAUCCGGAUCUAUUGGGUUUAAAGGGUGCAUAGGCGGCCUUUUAAGUCAGCGGUGAAAGUCUGUGGCUCAACCAGAGAAUUGCCGUUGAAACUGGGGGGCUUGAGUAUGUUUGAGGCAGGCGGAAUGCGUGGUGUAGCGGUGAAAUGCGUAGAUAUCACGCAGAACCCCGAUUGCGAAGGCAGCCUGCCAAGCCAUGACUGACGCUGAUGCACGAAAGCGUGGGGAUCAAACAGGAUUAGAUACCCUUGUAGUC
rnacentral:rRNA from 1 species